rnacentral:lncRNA from 1 species
AGAGAAUGAGAUAAUAUUUCGGUUAGAUUUUACGAAAAUGAAAUUAUAUUAUUCUUUUCUUUUUUUUGUAUUUAUUAUUCAUUCUCUUGUAACCUUUCACAAUAUCAUGUCAAGUGCUAGCUAGUCACAUAAAGGAAUGUUGUGAGUGUGGGAAAGUAUUUGUAUACACCCAUUACAUUUUAUUUUUCUAAUUUCACAAAAGAAAAAAAACACAAGACUUCUCAACAAGCCUCAUGUAGGUGUGCGUGUGCGCACGCAAGCAUACAUACAUUGUCUAGUAGGGGCGCUCGUCCUCGGGCUGGUACAUGGGAUCGUAGCUGCAAACCACAUAGUUCUGUCCAUUGUUGCACUUUGAAAUGCCACAUCCAACCUCGGUGGUUUUGCCCCAUACCACAGCAAGGUAGUGACCACAUUCGUCUUUGACGCAUUUGUUGGACUUUUCGUCAUAGAACUCCUUCUCGGUGACCCAAUACUUGGUGGCAGCUGCGCCGCUCAUGCCGUCACCAGAGGCCAAGUUCUCACCCCAACGCCCCAUCGAGUGCUCCAUGGCGCAGUCGCCAACUCUUUUAUCCGCAUAUUCUUGGGCAUACUGGGCCAAGGUCGUGUUCCAAUUGAGGGGUUUGUUGCCGACCUCUUUACGAGCCUUGUUGUGCUCCUCGACGAAGCCAUCGAUCUCUUCUUUAGAAAUGUUUGCAAAGACAAGAGUGAAGACCAAUGCGACGCAGCAAAUGGCCAAAAGAAGCUUCGUGUUGAACGCCAUUUUUGUUUUUUGAUAUGAGAAGUUUAAGGUCUUUUCUUUGUAGUAGAGAAGGUUGGAUUGUUAGAUGUUGAUUGAAAGGGGGCAUGGGAUUGUGCAUAUUUAUAGAGACACAGGCAAGUUUGUGUCCGCAAAGAGGGUCUUCGAAAAUAGGCCCUUAAAAAUGGGAGGGCUGAAUAUUAGUUUUUUGGAUUCUAUAGAUUGCUGUAGAGGCGGGGCCAAAUAAAGAAAAGAAAGAAGAGAUCCAUAGAAAUUUGUGGUGUCACAUCUUUUGUGCUUGGAAUGCGUCCACACCAAGUUUUACUCACAAUAAGGAGGGAAGACAAUUUCUUUGGUGAGUUUCCUUUUUUUUUUCCCCUUAAAAAAGUAAGUUCUUCUUUUCUGUUCUUCUUUUCUGUUCUUCUUUUCUUUUCUUCUUUCAGGUGAACUAUUUUUUUUUUUUUUUCUUGUUCUUUUUCUAAAGGAUAAGAUGGAAACAAGAAGUAACGAGGUAGAACAUUAUUGGGUGUCUUGAGUAAUAUGUCUUUUGUUUUUCCUUCAGUUGUGUCUGUUUUUCCUCAUGACUUAGUUGGCCUCCUUUCUCCUAUGCGUCUAUAUGCUAUUGUUUAAACCUGUCUUCUGGUCCUAAUCCCCUUUGUUCACUAAAAUAACUGAUAAGGAAAAUCACCAUACUCUAGUUUUUGGUGUCACACGUUUCAAAUUUAGCCAUAUUCUUUUUUAUAAGAAUUCACUCUUUUUUUUCUUUUCUUUUUUUCUAAUGAACAAUCUCAUGUUAUAAUGUGCGUUUAUUUAUUAAUAUUAUAUCAUCGGAUGCAAUGGAUUUUUAACUCAAAUAGUUAAGAGGUCCUAAGUUCGAUUCCACCCUCCCUCAAUAUGACUUGUAUAAAAAAUAAAAAUAAAAAUUAUAUCAUCAGAUAUAAAUUUGUUGUCCACUUACAUCAAUUUCUAAUGUUACAGUGACCAAAAAAAAAAAACUUUCUUCAAUUUUUUAUUAUCUUAAUGGUUUUUUGAGUUACUUGUGUCUCUACUAGUGAACUGUUACUUUUUUUUCUUUUUCUUUUUUAUAGAAAUAUUGGCUCCAAAAUCUCUGCCCUCGUCAAAGCUAUUGCACAUCUUCAGUUUUGGCGACCAAUCUAUUUCGUCGCCCAUUCUGAAAAUAACCAAACCAGCUAACAUAUGCGACAAAUAAACUACAUCUUUCACGACCAUAACAUUCAUCGCUGAAAUGUUCAGGCGACCAAACAUUUAUUUCGUCGCCAAAUAAUUUCAUGUUUGCGGGAAUUUUUGGUAUUUUGGCAGCAACUCACUCUCAAUGGCAACCAACUUGGAGCUGUGUAGUGAAGACAAAUUUAGUCGCUAAAAUAUUUUCAGCGACAAAAUUUUGUUUCGUCGCAUGGUAUCUUUAGCCCCGAGCUUUCAACGAUGACCUUAGAGACCAAAAAUAUUCGUCGCUACUUAUAUUUGGCGAUUAAAUUUGGUGUUAUAGUGACCAUCUUGUUUCGUCACUAAAAGGGAUUAUCCUUGUAGUGCUUCUUUCUUUCUAGAAGCUGAUAAAUAGACUCUGUGCCUUCUAAAAUCAAAUUAUCAUGGGAUAUUUCAUUAGUGUUAUGAAUUUUAGGAAAAGAUGUUACUUGAAUGACUUUCUCAGCAGGUGAUUGGUGGGGGCAAAAACUCAUAAAACGGUUCAAUUUCCUCCUCCUGAGUUUGACAGCGUGGAGAUAACUAAUUAUUUUCCUCUGGCGACCAGUCGCUGUCUAUUGGCAAUCGGUCGCUGUCUAUUGGCGACCGGUCAUUUUGAAGCAUGUUUUCCGUGUUUGAAGAACUAAGGGGGGGACCGGUCGCUUUCCACUGGCGACUAGUCGUUUUGAAGCUGAGUGACAUCCUGUGGAAAAAAAUCAAAAAUUUGAGGAGGGGUGGAUUCUCGAUUCUCCUCUUGUGCCGCUGAAAAAUAUAAGACAUGUUCCCGAAACACAACAUCCAUAGAGGUAUAGACCUUCUAACUAGGAGGAUGAUAACACCUGUAUCUUUUCUUAUGAGUGCAUAGCCAAUGAAACCACACUUUUCAGCUCGGUGAUCCAAUUUGCUUCGUUGGUGAUCAUGUAAGUGGACAAAUACAACAUAGCCGAAAUUCGGGGUUCCAGGUUUGGGGUGGGAGGUAUUUGGAUAUGGUAGUGUUUGAAGUGGCGUUUGAAAAUUUAGGAUACUAAAGGGAAUUCGAUUGAUAAGGUAUGCUACAGAGACGAUGGCUUCGCCCCAAAAAGAUCGUGGCAUAUUGGCACCGAAGAAAGAGGCACGAACUACUUCUAAUAAUUGUAUGUUCUUUCUUUCAACCACUUCAUUCUGUUGAGGAGUGUAAGGGCAUGAGCGUUGAUGUAUGAUGCCAUGAUCUUGUAAGAACUGGUUAAGAGCAUGGUUGAGAAAUUCUCCGCCAUUUUCAUAAAGAACAUGAAUUAUGGCAUGAAACUGAGUCUCCACCAUUUGAUGGAACCGUUGAAACUUAGAACUGACUUCCCUUUUAGUUUUGAGAAUGGAAACCUAAGUCAUGCUUGUGCAAUCAUCUACAAACGUAACAAACCAUCGAGCUCCUGCCGAGGUGGCAAUUUUAGCAGGUCCAUAAACAUCAGAAUGAACAAGAGAAAAUGGAAUUAAACUCUUGUUUGAACUUAAUAGGAACGGGAACACGAUGGCUCUUAGCCAAUUCACAAGUAUCACACUGGAAGCUAGAAACAUCAAGACUGUAAAAUAAUGAUGGAAACAACUUCUUAUGAUAACCGAACAAGACAUGCACAAGAUGUUUAUGCCAUAACCAAACUUUACCUACCUCCCCUUCAGAACAAGUUCCACGUGUUGUGAAAGCUUGACCAACCUUGGUCUUAACAUACGGUGCCAGUCUAAGUUGUAGAGUUUGCCCCGCCGAGUACCACAACUAAUCGUCUUUCCCAUGAGGACGUCCUGAAAAACACAAUGAUUCGCCAACAUGUUACAAUACACCACAAAGUAGUAGGAAGUUGUGCAACAGACAACAAGUUAUGGUCCAAAGAUGGAACAAUCAAUACAGAAUUCAGAUAUAGGGAAGUAGAGAGAGAUAGAGAGCCCUCCUCAACCACAGGGGAGGGGGUACCAUUAGCAUCAUCCACCAAGUUGGCCAGGAUCAAAUGUCAUGUGAUUCGUACCCGAGUUUGCGGAUUUUUUAGAGGACGUAUGAAAACUAGAACCUUUGGUGGUGCGAUAGAAGCACGAGUCCUAGUAGCCGAGUCAGUAGGAGUGACCGCAUGCUUCUGUGAGUCUGCAAUAAGGGAGAAAAUAGUAGGGCGUCCUAACAUCACAGUGGAAGUAAUAUGUGAUAUGAGUAUGUGAGGAAUUUGAUUGGAGGAAUUUGAUGUGUGAUUUUGAUGUAGAAAUUGGAUUUGAGAGGUAUGUGUUUAGGGAUUUUGAUAAGAGGAUUUGAGGACUUUGGAUUUGAGGGAUUUGGAUUUCGAGAAUUUAAAUAUGAGGAAUUUGAUUUAGGGUUUUGGAUUUAAAUAUGAGAAAUUUGAUGUAAGGGUUUAGAGACAACUUAUGAUCGAUUGCUCUGAUACCAUGCUAAAAUAUAAAUAUGGUUUGAAUACUUUACGUUAAGUUUUAUUCUUCUCCGUAAAGAGGUAUAUAUAAGAGUUUACAUGAGUGCUUUACAAGAAAUAGAUACAAUAAUCAAGUAGAAUACUAUCUCGUAAUUAUACAAUCAUUUGUCAAUUAUAUAAAAUAAAAAAGUAAAUCCCUUAUUUAAUCAAGGAAAUAAAUCUCCUUGAUUAAUUAACAGAUUCGUGUCAACAAAGACUGUGGUGCUACCCUUCUAGUAGAAAUUUUUUAUAUAUUUCUAUAAAAUUUGGUCUCGUUUCAAACAAAAAAAAUAAAAGGGUAGAUUUCUUUCCAAAGGUAAGAACUUUUUUUAAUUUUUUUUAAUCCAAGAUGUAAAAAAAAAAAACUCCGUUCAUGAAAUUUGAAUCAGGAAGUCUUUAACAAGUAAAAAUUAUACAAGCGAUUGUCUAAAUUAAUCUACUCUACGAAAAAGAAACAUCAACAAGGAAAGUGACAAUGACACAUUAGCAUAAUACCACGGAAUGAGCAUACAAUGAGUUAUAAGUACUAAACUUUCUUAGCGCUGAAUUUUUUUUAAUUUUUCUCAAUAGAGAGGUGGAGUUAGGAUUUUAUGUGUGGAGGGGAGGGGUCAAUAUAUUAGGAUUUAAAGUUGAUUUCUUUCCCAGUGUUAAGCUUGUAAAUAAAUAAAUAACAGAUUAUCUUUAAUUUCCUAUUUUCUUAAAUAUACUUGUGAAAGAAAGAUUUGAUUUGCUGUUUCUUUUAAUUUUUAUUAAUUAUGUUGGUAGAAUCUAGGAGUAAGUUUGCCAUAUUGCUAAGAAAAGAGUCUUUUAGUUGGAGGGGGAAAUGUAAAUCCCUCUUUCUCUUUAUUGUGGGGGGCCACAAGCAUUAAUUUAAUAUAUAUAUUAUCCUAAGUUGUAUAAUACAAAGACAAUAUAUAUACUAUUUUAGAAUUUUGGGAGGGCAAGGCCCUUGCAGGCCUAAGCACACCUCCACCCCUGGAGAACAAUACAUUCUUUGAGAGUAAAAACGAACAUAAGAGCUAGAAAGGGUCAUCACAUCAAUAGUACAUUUGUUCACCACAUGAUGUUUUACAAAAGAGAGACCCCCACCUUCACGUGAACUCCACCCAAACAUUAUUUAGUCCAAAAUACUACUUUAAUAUCAACCAACAACAUCCAAUCUGUUCCAAGUUCCAGUCCACCAUCUCAACUUCAUCAGCUUGAUCAAAUGCCUUCCAAUUCUAGUAGGGACGCUCGUCCUCAUAAUUACCAGGAGGGUCGUAGCUGCAAAUGACAAAAACCCAAUUGUUGUCACACUUAGCCCUAGCACAACCAAGAUGAACCGAGUUCCUCCAAACCACCCGAGUAUAAUGCCCACAUUCAUCCCCAACACAUUUGUUGGAGCCGUAGUUAGCAGCUGGAUUUUUUUCCAUGUCACCCAAAAUGUGUUGUCCACGUGUUAGGCUUGAAAAUUCGUCACACGAGUGGGGGUAGAGGUGGGCACUGUUCGGUUUGGACCGAUUUUUGCCUCAAAUUAGAACUGAUCCGGUACUAUUUAUCCGGUUUGGUUCAGUUCUGUUUUAAUUAAAAAAAUUCAAAAACUAUCUGGUUCGGUUUGAACCGGUUUCGGUCCGAUUUCGAUUUCGGUUCAGUUUGAACCGGAUUAACAAAAUUAUUUUUUUAAAUUGUUUUUUAAUGCAAUUCUCAACUGAAAUAUUUUUUUUUUUACUUGAAAAUUAACAAAUUAUUCAAUUUCAUAUAAAAAAUAAAUAUUAAAGUUAGAAAAGAUAGAUAUUUUGAUAUUAAACUUGGAUAAAUAUUAGGUUUUUCUUAGUGAAAUUAAAAAUAUAGCAUUAAAUAUAAAUAUAUAUUGAAAUUAUAUAUUUUUUUAAUUUGACCGGUUCGGUUCGAUUUUUGAAGACAUGGAACCGGAUCCAAAACCGGUCCAAAUCGGUUCAGUUCGAUUUUUGACCAGUUGUUGACUUUUUGGUCAACUCGAUUUUUUCGGGUUUGGUUCAGUGCGGUUCGGCUCGGAUUUUUGGUUCGCCGAUUUAAGUGCCCACCCCUAAGUGGGGGCGUGCGAGAAUGUAAAAGUAAAAAGUCCCACAUUAGAAAAUUAGAAAACCUUGCAAGGGUUUAUAAGGAUUUAGAUUAAUUCCCCCGUUGCAAAUUGGUUUUAUGGUGAAAUCUCAACUUCCUUCAAAUAGGACAAGGAAGUGGAAAUAGUAGCACUCAAAAAAAAAAAAUGUACGGUUAUUUAGCCUUAAUAAUGGAUAAUUAGUCCUUUAUUAAUUUUUUGGAUAAACCAAUUAGAAUUUUGUCUAGUUGUAUUUUCAAAAAAAGAGAGAUUGACUAACAAAAAAAAAACACAUUAAGAGAAUGAGAUAAUAUUUCGGUUAGAUUUUACGAAAAUGAAAUUAUAUUAUUCUUUUCUUUUUUUUGUAUUUAUUAUUCAUUCUCUUGUAACCUUUCACAAUAUCAUGUCAAGUGCUAGCUAGUCACAUAAAGGAAUGUUGUGAGUGUGGGAAAGUAUUUGUAUACACCCAUUACAUUUUAUUUUUCUAAUUUCACAAAAGAAAAAAAACACAAGACUUCUCAACAAGCCUCAUGUAGGUGUGCGUGUGCGCACGCAAGCAUACAUACAUUGUCUAGUAGGGGCGCUCGUCCUCGGGCUGGUACAUGGGAUCGUAGCUGCAAACCACAUAGUUCUGUCCAUUGUUGCACUUUGAAAUGCCACAUCCAACCUCGGUGGUUUUGCCCCAUACCACAGCAAGGUAGUGACCACAUUCGUCUUUGACGCAUUUGUUGGACUUUUCGUCAUAGAACUCCUUCUCGGUGACCCAAUACUUGGUGGCAGCUGCGCCGCUCAUGCCGUCACCAGAGGCCAAGUUCUCACCCCAACGCCCCAUCGAGUGCUCCAUGGCGCAGUCGCCAACUCUUUUAUCCGCAUAUUCUUGGGCAUACUGGGCCAAGGUCGUGUUCCAAUUGAGGGGUUUGUUGCCGACCUCUUUACGAGCCUUGUUGUGCUCCUCGACGAAGCCAUCGAUCUCUUCUUUAGAAAUGUUUGCAAAGACAAGAGUGAAGACCAAUGCGACGCAGCAAAUGGCCAAAAGAAGCUUCGUG